rnacentral:lncRNA from 1 species
CUCUCCAGCAAUUGUUCCCUCAUAGAACUAUCAAUUUGGUAAAUUAUUCACAUAUGAAAAUGCCUUCAUAAGGGCUAGCAGCUUCAAAUUAAAUAAAGUGGCUGAGAAAAGUGAGAUGCUGUUUGUUAUUGGCUGAAGGUAAGUACAUUUUUUCAUGGAAUCCAGUGAUUAAGAAAAUAACAAUAUAAAGAGAUACAUUUACAUUCCCUAUAGACAUUGAGGAUCUGAGGAAGGAAAAAAUGUGCUUUCUUCAAUGUAGGCACAUUUUACCUAUUGCAGAUUCAAAUUGCAUAUCGGUGGAACACCAAUAUGCAAGUGCCACAGAAAUAAUUGUUGCAGACAAGAUCCAUUAAUGUAUGUGAAAAGUAGUAGGAGAAAGCUUGAGAACAGGUUACUAAUAUAAUCCUCAAAGUAUCUAUCCAAAGAUAUUUAUUAAUUACAAAGGCAAAGAUAGUAACCUAGCAAACACCAUUCUAAUUGAUGAUCAAAUUUAACAUCACCACUAAUAUGACAUGUUGAUAUUAUGGAUAUUUUGAUAUGAUACAUUGAAAAUGACAUAUUGUCAUUUCUGUUAUAUAUGCCAAAUAUUUAUAAGCUCAGUUCAAUAAUGAAGAAACAUAAAACAGACCCAUAUUGAAGGACAUUUUAUGAAAUAGUAGUACCACUCAUAGGUGUCAAUCAUAAAAAUGAUACAGAAAAACCCAUUAAAAAGUGGUCAAAGGACAUGAAAAGACAAUUUUCAAAAGAAGAGUGCAUGCAGUCAACAAUCUUGAAAAAUUUCAAUAUCAUUGAUCAUUAGAAAAAUACAAAUCAAAACCACAAUGAGAGACCAUCUCACAGCAGUCAGAAUGGCUAUUACUAAAAAGUCAAAAAAUAAUGGAUGCUGGCAAGGUUGUGGAGAAAAUUGAAUGCUUAUACACUGUUGGUGGGAAUGGAAAUAGUUCAGCCAUUGGGGAAGACAGUAUGAUGAUUCCUCAAAGACCUAAAGACUGAAAUACCAUUCAACCCAGCAAUCCUAUUGACUGAAUAUAUACCCAAAGGAAUAUAAAUCAUUCCAUUAUAAAGACACGUGCAUGUGUAUGUUCAUUGCAGCGCUAUUCACAAUAGCAAAGACAUAGAAUCAGCUUAAAUGCCCAUCAAUGAUAGACUGGAUAAAGAAAAUGUGGUACACAUACACCUUGGAAUGCUACACAGCCAUAAAAAGAAUGAGAUCAGGGACUGGACGCGGUGGCUCACUCCUGUAAUCCCAGCACUUUGGGAGGCUGAAGCGGGCGGAUCACGAGGUCAGGAGAUCAAGACAAUCCUGGCUAAUAUGGUGAAAUCCUGUCUCUACUAAAAAUACAAAAAAUUAACCGGGCAUGGUGGCGGACACCUGUAGUCCCAACUGCUCUGGAGGCUGAGGCAGGAGAAUGGCGUGAACCCAGGAGACGGAGCUUGUAGUGAGCUCAGAUCAUGCUACUGUACUCCAGCCUGGGCGACAGAGUGAGACUCCAUCUCAAAAAAUAAAUAAAUAAGAAUGAGAUCAUGUUCUUUACAGGAACAUGGAUGCAGCGGGAGGCCAUUAUUCUUAGCGAAGUAAUGCAGGAACAGAAAACCAAAUACUGCAUGUUUUCACUUAUAAGUGGAAGCCAAAAGAUGAGAACACAUGGAUGCAGAGAGGGGAACAACACAGACUGGGGCCUAUGGGACAUUGGAGGGUGGGAUAAGGGAGGGGAUCAGGAAAAAUAACUAAUGUGUACUAGGCUUAAUACCUAAGUGAUGAAAUAAUUUGUACAACAAGCCCCCAUGACACAAGUUUACCUAUGCAACAAACCUGCACAUGUGCCCCUGAACUUAAAUAAAUAAAUAAAU